rnacentral:lncRNA from 1 species
UACUAGAAUACCAUAGACGGGAUGGUUUAUAUAUAAUCAUCUUUCAUGUUUUCAGAGACUGGCCAUCUGAAAUCGGGAUGCCAACUUUGCUGAGUUCUGUUGAGAGCCCCCUCCCAGGCUACAGACCGUGGACUUCUAGUAUCCUCAUGUGGUGGAGAACAGGUCCAAGCAUGAAACAAUGCCAUGUGAGGAAGACAGUCUUUAGUUUUCCACAAACAGCUCUGUUAAGGCCAGCCAUAUUACCAAGAAACCACAGUUCCAAGUGGAGAACAUGCUAGGCUAUCUUAUUCAUGCUGAUGUAUGAUCUAAUUUCAAGUUUUUCACUUUGUAAAAGUUCUUGUUUCAAGGAAAGCAAUUCUCCCAGCCUACAUCCUAUUUUUGCCUGUGAAAUGAAUAAAAAAAAAAUGCAAG